rnacentral:snoRNA from 1 species
GUAGUCUGUGAUGAUGAAGUUCUCAAUUGGCCCGAGUUCUUUUUGGAAUAUGAGGGCAACUUAAGUCACUACCUCUUCUGAGACAC